rnacentral:rRNA from 1 species
GCAAGUCGAGCGCCGUAGCAAUACGGAGCGGCAGACGGGAGAGUAACACGUGGGAACGUGCCCUUUGGUUCGGAACAACCCAGGGAAACUUGGGCUAAUACCGGAUAAGCCCUUACGGGGAAAGAUUUAUCGCCGAAGGAUCGGCCCGCGUCUGAUUAGCUAGUUGGUGGGGUAAUGGCCCACCAAGGCGACGAUCAGUAGCUGGUCUGAGAGGAUGAUCAGCCUCACUGGGACUGAGACACGGCCCAGACUCCUACGGGAGGCAGCAGUGGGGAAUAUUGGACAAUGGGCGCAAGCCUGAUCCAGCCAUGCCGCGUGGGUGAUGAAGGCCCUAGGGUUGUAAAGCCCUUUCGGCGGGGAAGAUAAUGACGGUACCCGCAGAAGAAGCCCCGGCUAACUUCGUGCCAGCAGCCGCGGUAAUACGAAGGGGGCUAGCGUUGCUCGGAAUCACUGGGCGUAAAGCGCACGUAGGCGGAUUGCUAAGUCAGGGGUGAAAUCCU